rnacentral:rRNA from 1 species
GAGUUUGAUCCUGGCUCAGGACGAACGCUGGCGGCGUGCCUAAUACAUGCAAGUAGAACGCUGAAGGAGGAGCUUGCUUCUCUGGAUGAGUUGCGAACGGGUGAGUAACGCGUAGGUAACCUGCCUGGUAGCGGGGAUAACGUAUUGGAAACGAUAGCUAAUACCGCAUAAGAGUGGAUGUUGCAUGACAUUUGCUUAAAAGGUGCACUUGCAUCACUACCAGAUGGACCUGCGUUGUAUUAGCUAGUUGGUGGGGUAAGGGCUCACCAAGGCGACGAUACAUAGCCGACCUGAGAGGGUGAUCGGCCACACUGGGACUGAGACACGGCCCAGACUCCUACGGGAGGCAGCAGUAGGGAAUCUUCGGCAAUGGACGGAAGUCUGACCGAGCAACGCCGCGUGAGUGAAGAAGGUUUUCGGAUCGUAAAGCUCUGUUGUAAGAGAAGAACGAGUGUGAGAGUGGAAAGUUCACACUGUGACGGUAUCUUACCAGAAAGGGACGGCUAACUACGUGCCAGCAGCCGCGGUAAUACGUAGGUCCCGAGCGUUGUCCGGAUUUAUUGGGCGUAAAGCGAGCGCAGGCGGUUAGAUAAGUCUGAAGUUAAAGGCUGUGGCUUAACCAUAGUAGGCUUUGGAAACUGUUUAACUUGAGUGCAAGAGGGGAGAGUGGAAUUCCAUGUGUAGCGGUGAAAUGGCGUAGAUAUAUGGAGGAACACCGGUGGCGAAAAGCGGCUCUCUGGCUUGUUAACUGACGCUGAGGCUCGAAAGCGUGGGGAGCAAAACAGGAUUAGAUACCCUGGUAGUCCACGCUGUAAACGAUGAGUGCUAGGUGUUAGACCCUUUCCGGGGUUUAGUGCCGUAGCUAACGCAUUAAGCACUCCGCCUGGGGAGUACGACCGCAAGGUUGAAACUCAAAGGAAUUGACGGGGGCCCGCACAAGCGGUGGAGCAUGUGGUUUAAUUCGAAGCAACGCGAAGAACCUUACCAGGUCUUGACAUCCCUCUGACCGCUCUAGAGAUAGAGUUUUCCUUCGGGACAGAGGUGACAGGUGGUGCAUGGUUGUCGUCAGCUCGUGUCGUGAGAUGUUGGGUUAAGUCCCGCAACGAGCGCAACCCCUAUUGUUAGUUGCCAUCAUUUAGUUGGGCACUCUAGCGAGACUGCCGGUAAUAAACCGGAGGAAGGUGGGGAUGACGUCAAAUCAUCAUGCCCCUUAUGACCUGGGCUACACACGUGCUACAAUGGCUGGUACAACGAGUCGCAAGCCGGUGACGGCAAGCUAAAUCUCUUAAAGCCAGUCUCAGUUCGGAUUGUAGGCUGCAACUCGCCUACAUGAAGUCGGAAUCGCUAGUAAUCGCGGAUCAGCACGCCGCGGUGAAUACGUUCCCGGGCCUUGUACACACCGCCCGUCACACCACGAGAGUUUGUAACACCCGAAGUCGGUGAGGUAACCGUAAGGAGCCAGCCGCCUAAGGUGGGAUAGAUGAUUGGGGUGAAGUCGUAACAAGGUAGCCGUAUCGGAAGGUGCGGCUGGAUCACC